rnacentral:rRNA from 1 species
AUUGAACGCUGGCGGCAGGCCUAACACAUGCAAGUCGAACGAGUGGCGGACGGGUGAGUAAUGUCUGGGAAACUGUCCGAUGGAGGGGGAUAACUACUGGAAACGGUAGCUAAUACCGCAUACCAUCGGAUGUGCCCAGAUGGGAUUAGCUAGUAGGUGGGGGAACGGCUCACCUAGGCGACGAUCCCUAGCUAGUCUGAGAGCAUGACCAGCCACACUGGAACUGGGACACGGUCCUGUCUCCUACGGGAGGCAGCAGGGGGGAAUAUUGCACAAUGGGCGCAAGCCUGAUGCAGCCAUGCCGCGUGUAUGAAGAAUGCCUUCGGGGUGUAAAUUACUUUCAGCGAGGAGGCGUUACUCGCAGAAGAAGCACCGGCUAACUCCGUGCCAGCAGCCGCGGUAAUAC